rnacentral:lncRNA from 1 species
UAUACCAUUCAUAUUCUUCCAUACAAUAUAAACAAUAUGACGUAACGCACAAAGAAUCGUGACACUACACAAAAAGAACAUCCAUGAUAAAAUGAGUAGCUUUUCUAAAAUAACGGACGUUUUGCCGGUGGCCAAAACCGCCACCGAUGCCAUUAAUUAAAAUUUUAGACAUCAACACAUGCUUAAUUACCAAGCAAGAGAACACUAAUCCUUAAAUCCGCA